GUGCUCGCUUUGGCAACACAUACACUACAACUGGAAUGAUACAGAGAAGAUUAGCAUGGCCCCUGUGCAAGGAUGACAUGCAAAUUAAAAAAAAAGUUUGUUU
ensembl:snRNA U6 U6 spliceosomal RNA